rnacentral:rRNA from 1 species
GACAGAGGUGCCAAGCGUUUAGGCGGAAUUACUGGGCGUAAAGCGCGCGUAGGCGGAUCGCUAAGUCAGGGGUGAAAUCCCAAGGCUCAACCUUGGAACUGCCUUUGAUACUGACGAUCUGGAGAUCGGGAGAGGUGAGUGGAAUUCCGAGUGUAGAGGUGAAAUUCGUAGAUAUUCGGAGGAACACCAGAAGCGAAGGCGGCUCACUGGGCCCGAUCUGACGCUGAGGCGCGAAAAGCGUGGGG